UAUUAAGUUGGUGGAAAAGUAAUUGCGUUUUUGACAUAAAUGGCAAAAACUGUAAUUACUUUUGCACCAACCUAAUAGUUU
ensembl:miRNA